GUGGGGAAUCUUGCGCAAUGGGGGCAACCCUGACGCAGCGACGCCGCGUGCGGGAUGAAGGCCUUCGGGUUGUAAACCGCUUUCAGCAGGGACGAGGCCGCAAGGUGACGGUACCUGCAGAAGAAGCCCCGGCUAACUACGUGCCAGCAGCCGCGGUAAUACGUAGGGGGCGAGCGUUAUCCGGAUUCAUUGGGCGUAAAGCGCGCGUAGGCGGCUUGUUAGGUCAGGAGUCAAAUCCUGGGGCUUAACCCCAGUCCGCUCUUGAUACCGGCAGGCUUGAGUCUGGUAGGGGAAGGUGGAAUUCCAAGUGUAGCGGUGGAAUGCGCAGAUAUUUGGAAGAACACCGGUGGCGAAGGCGGCCUUCUGGGCCACGACUGACGCUGAGGCGCGAAAGCUAGGGGAGCGAACAGGAUUAGAAACCCUAGUAGUCC
rnacentral:rRNA from 1 species